GAGCUGAGCCUGCCGUUUCUCUGUCCAAGGAGGAAGAGGAUGCUGACGCCUGGCUCCCAGGGUCGCUACCAUCAGGAGAGGGGACAUCUCCAUAAAAGUGCACAGAGCAAGCCAGGCGUUGUGGCACACACCUGUCAUCCCAGCACUUGCCAGGCCACGCAGGAGGAUUGCUCUCCCCAGGGAGGCUGGAUGUCAACUCUCAAAUGCCUGCAAACUGAGGAAUCUGCUCUACCCCAGGCCCCUGGGAGGUCACUGAGGCAGAACAGAUGAGGUUGAUCUGUCCAAUCAGAGCGCUCCAAGGAGGCAGUGGGGAUACCCGGCUCCCCAAGAACUCCACAUGG
rnacentral:lncRNA from 1 species